rnacentral:rRNA from 1 species
GAUGAACGCUGGCGGCGUGCCUAAUACAUGCAAGUCGAACGAACAGACGAGGAGUUUGUUCCUCUGACGUUUGCCGCGGACGGGUGAGUAACAUGUGGAUAACCUACCUAUAAGACUGGGAUAACUUCGGUAAACCGGAGCUAAUACCGGAUCAUAUAUUGAACCGUAUGGUUCAAUAGUGAAAGACGGCUUUGCUGCUACUUAUAGAUCGUUCCUGGCCGCAUUAGCUAGUUGGUAAGGUAACGGCUUACCAAGGCGACGAUGCGUCGCCGACCUGAGAGGGUGAUCGGCAAAACUGGAACUGAGAAACGGUCAAGACUCAAACGGGAGGAAGCAGUAGGGAAUCUUCCGAAAUGGGCGAAAGCCUGACGGAGAAACGCGGCGGGGGUGAGGAAGGUCUUCGGAUCGUAAAACUCUGUUAUUAGGGAAGAACAGAUGUGUAAGUAAAUAUGCACGUAUUGACGGUACCUAAUCAGAAAGAGACGGCUAACUACGUG